UGGGGAAUAUUGCGCAAUGGGGGGAACCCUGACGCAGCAACGCCGCGUGAAGGAUGAAGGUCUUCGGAUUGUAAACUUCUGUCGCAAGGGAAGAAGACAGUGACGGUACCUUGUGAGGAAGCCACGGCUAACUACGUGCCAGCAGCCGCGGUAAUACGUAGGUGGCAAGCGUUGUCCGGAUUUACUGGGUGUAAAGGGCGCGUAGGCGGACUGUCAAGUCAGUCGUGAAAUGCCGGGGCUUAACCCCGGAGCUGCGAUUGAAACUGACAGCCUUGAGUAUCGGAGAGGAAAGCGGAAUUCCUAGUGUAGCGGUGAAAUGCGUAGAUAUUAGGAGGAACACCAGUGGCGAAGGCGGCUUUCUGGACGACAACUGACGCUGAGGCGCGAAAGUGUGGGGAGCAAACA
rnacentral:rRNA from 1 species